ACCAACGUUCAUACUGCACUGAAUGCACUCGUUCUCGUCCGAUCACGAAAGUUAAGCAGUGCUGGGCACGGAUAGUACUUAGAUGGGUGACCGCUUGGGAACUCCGUGUGAUGUUGGUU
rfam:Melipona quadrifasciata isolate 0111107301 unplaced genomic scaffold scaffold229, whole genome shotgun sequence.